rnacentral:rRNA from 1 species
GACGAACCGUGCGAACGUUGUUCGGAAUCACUGGGCUUAAAGGGCGCGUAGGCGGGCGGCCAAGUCAGGGGUGAAAGCCCCCGGCUCAACUGGGGAGGGUCACGCGAUACUGAUCGACUCGAAGGCAGGAGAGGGUAGUGGAAUUCCCGGUGUAGUGGUGAAAUGCGUAGAUAUCGGGAGGAACACCAGUGGCGAAGGCGACUACCUGGCCUGUUCUUGACGCUGAGGCGCGAAAGCUAGGGGAGCAAACGGG